rnacentral:rRNA from 1 species
GUGGGGAAUAUUGGACAAUGGGCGAAAGCCUGAUCCAGCCAUGCCGCGUGUGUGAAGAAGGUCUUCGGAUUGUAAAGCACUUUAAGUUGGGAGGAAGGGCAGUAAGUUAAUACCUUGCUGUUUUGACGUUACCGACAGAAUAAGCACCGGCUAACUUCGUGCCAGCAGCCGCGGUAAUACGAAGGGUGCAAGCGUUAAUCGGAAUUACUGGGCGUAAAGCGCGCGGAGGUGGUUUUGUAAGUUGGAGGUGAAAUCCCCGGGAUCAAACUGUGAACUGCCUCCAAAACUGCAUGACUAGAGUACGGUAGAGGGUAGUGGAAUUUCCUGUGUAGCGGUGAAAUGCGUAGAUAUAGGAAGGAACACCAGUGGCGAAGGCGACUACCUGGACUGAUACUGACACUGAGGUGCGAAAGCGUGGGGAGCAAACAGGAUUAGAAACCCGAGUAGUCC